UAUCCGAUAAUUCUGCGGAUAAAGGUGCCUUUGCGCUGCCGCAGAUGGAUGAGCCUGCGUUGGAUUAGCUAGUUGGUGGGGUAAGGGCCUACCAAGGCUACGAUCCAUAGCUGAUUUGAGAGGAUGAUCAGCCACAUUGGGACUGAGACACGGCCCAAACUCCUACGGGAGGCAGCAGUGGGGAAUAUUGGACAAUGGGGGAAACCCUGAUCCAGCAAUGCCAUGUGUGUGAAGAAGGCUCUAGGGUUGUAAAGCACUUUAGUUGGGGAGGAAAGCCUGUGAGUUAAUAGCUUGCAGGAAGGACGUUGCCCAAAGAAUAAGGACCGGCUAACUCCGUGCCAGCAGCCGCGGUAAUACGGGGGGUCCGAGCGUUAAUCGGAAUUACUGGGCGUAAAGGGUCUGUAGGUGGUUUGUUAAGUCAGAUGUGAAAGCCCAGGGCUCAACCUUGGAACUGCAUUUGAUACUGACAAACUAGAGUAUGGUAGAGGAAUAGGGAACUUCUGGUGUAGCGGUGAAAUGCGUAGAGAUCAGAAGGAACACCAAUGGCGAAGGCAACAUUCUGGACCAAUACUGACACUGAGGGACGAAAGCGUGGGGAUCAAACAGGAUUAGAUACCCUGGUAGUCCACGCUGUAAACGAUGAGUACUAGCUGUUGGAUUCGGUGUAAAGGAUCUAGUGGCGCAGCUAACGCGUUAAGUACUCCGCCUGGGGACUACGGCCGCAAGGCUAAAACUCAAAGGAAUUGACGGGGACCCGCACAAGCGGUGGAGCAUGUGGUUUAAUUCGAUGCAACGCGAAGAACCUUACCUGGUCUUGACAUCCUGCGAACUUUCUAGAGAUAGAUUGGUGCCUUCGGGAACGCAGUGACAGGUGCUGCACGGCUGUCGUCAGCUCGUGUUGUGAAAUGUUGGGUUAAGUCCCGCAACGAGCGCAACCCCUAUUGAUAGUUACCAUCAUUAAGUUGGGUACUCUAUUGAGACUGCCGCUGACAAGGCGGAAGGAAGGUUGGGGACGACGUCAAGUCAUCAUGGCCCUUACGACCAGGGCUACACACGUGCUACAAUGGGUA
rnacentral:rRNA from 2 species